CAAAUGUCUGCAAAUUGAUUUUGUAAGUAUCUAGAAGAUAAUAUGGUGAUAAGGAACAGUCAACAUGGAUUUCUCAAGAACAAAUCAUGUCACACCAACCUAAUAUCCUUCUUUGACAGGGCACCAAGCCUUGUGGAUAGCAGGG